rnacentral:misc_RNA from 1 species
GAUAACCAAUAACUGUAGGAACUGGAAGAACAAAAUAACUAAAAUAAAAACUCAGCUAUUUUUCUUAAUUUGACAGUGCAAACGGUGGCAAUCACUAAUCUUUUGCCAAGGCAUACAACACAAUUAUAUAAUUUUCUAAACAAUUAAAUUAGAUUCCAAAAUUCUAGAUAACACUAAUCUAGGAAACAAAUUGGAAGGAAAAGAUCAAUGACAGUCCAAUCAAUGACUUUGUUAAAUUUGGAGUGUUAGUCAAAUUACAUAAUAAUUCAUUUCAAUUCGGGCUUAUAUAACAAUUAGAUUAUCUUACAUAUCAAAAUGACUAGCUA